rnacentral:snRNA from 1 species
UAAGGAUUUCAUUGAGCCGUUAU